GUUAGAGAUCAAUGUAACGAUUGUGCAAAUUUGAUAAAAUAAUCAACAACAUUAUGAAUAUAAAUAUCGCGAUUAUUCACAAUAAAUUAAAUACUCAGUUAUCUGCUGACUUGCAAAUACUCGUAUCAUUAGUUCAUACAUAGAAAAAAAACUAAAAUGACCAAAUUUACUUUGUUGUUAUCAAUUAUUUUAUUUAUUGGCUUCUAUGCUAGUGCAGUUGAAGCAAAUUGCGAUGGGAAUUGGUGUCAUCCUUCAGAAGGCUAUCGUUGCGGUUGUGCCGAUUACUAUUGUAGUUCAACCUUUAGUCAAGGCACUUGCAAGAAACACGUAAUUCAAGCUCAUAUGAUUCCGUUCGGUAAAUAAAAUAAAAUAUUGUUGAAAAAUCCGAAAGUUCAAACCUGCAACACUCGUUUUUUAUAUUAAAUUAUCAAUUUACUAUUAUUAAUUGUCAAACUAUGUACUCCUUCCCCGAUUGAAGAAAAUAAAUUGAAAUUAUUUUCAAUGUUAAAUCUCCAUAAGAGAAA